rfam:Schistosoma rodhaini strain Burundi genome assembly, scaffold: SROB_scaffold0009449
AUCCAACUGACGAGUUCCAGACAGGACGGAACGCGCGUACUGGAU